GACGUAGGGCGCGAGCGUUGUCCGGAUUUAUUGGGCGUAAAGAGCGUGUAGGCGGUUUGGUAGGUCCGUUGUGAAAACUCGAGGCUCAACCUCGAGACGCCGAUGGAAACCAUCAGACUAGAGUCCGGAAGAGGAGAGUGGAAUUCCUGGUGUAGCGGUGAAAUGCGCAGAUAUCAGGAAGAACACCCGUGGCUAAGGCGGCUCUCUAGUACGGUACUGACGCUGAGACGCGAAAGCGUGGGGAGCGAACAGG
rnacentral:rRNA from 1 species